AUAUUUCGGAACUGAGUCUAGUUCCUUCGAUAUCAGUGUAAUCUAAUAUUUAUGAAAUCUGCUGUGUUGGUGAUCUUAUUCACCUGAGUACAUUACACCAACACAGCAGAUUUCAUAAAUAUUAGAUUACACUGAUAUCGAAGGAACUAGACUCAGUUCCGAAAUAU